rnacentral:rRNA from 1 species
AUUGAACGCUGGCGGCAGGCCUAACACAUGCAAGUCGAACGGCGCGGCGGACGGGUGCGUAAUGCCUAGGAAUCUGCCUGGUCGUGGGGGAUAACGUCCGGAACCGGGCGCUAUUACCGCAUCCUAUCAGCUGAGCCUAGGUCGGAUUGGCUAGGGGGUGGGGUAAAGGCCUACCAAGGCGACGAUCCGUAACUGGUCUGAGAGGAUGAUCAGUCACACUGGAACUGAGACACGGUCCAGACUCCUACGGGAGGCAGCAGUGGGGAAUAUUGGACAAUGGGCGAAAGCCUGAUCCAGCCAUGCCGCGUGUGUGAAGAAGGUCUUCGGAUUGUAAAGCACUUUAAGUUGGGAGGCGUUACCAACAGAAUAAGCACCGGCUAACUUCGUGCCAGCAGCCGCGGUAAUAC